CCCAGACUCCUACGGGAGGCAGCAGUGGGGAAUAUUGCACAAUGGGCGAAAGCCUGAUGCAGCAACGCCGCGUGAAGGAGGAAGGGUUUCGGCUCGUAAACUUCUAUCAACAGGGACGAAAGAAAUGACGGUACCUGACUAAGAAGCCCCGGCUAACUACGUGCCAGCAGCCGCGGUAAUACGUAGGGGGCGAGCGUUAUCCGGAUUUACUGGGUGUAAAGGGAGCGCAGGCGGCGUGGCAAGUCAGAUGUGAAAACCCGGGGCCCAACCCCGGGACUGCAUUUGAAACUGCCAUGCUGGAGUGCCGGAGAGGCAAGUGGAAUUCCUAGUGUAGCGGUGAAAUGCGUAGAUAUUAGGAGGAACACCAGUGGCGGAGGCGGCUUGCUGGACGGUAACUGACGCUGAGGCUCGAAAGCGUGGGGAGCAAACAGGAUUAGAUACCCCGGUAGAC
rnacentral:rRNA from 1 species